CCCAGCGAUGAAUCGCUGGGCUAUUUUCGAGCGUCCCGGCGGGACG
rnacentral:ncRNA from 2 species